AGACCCUUCCACGGCUCCUUGGUGCCUGUGGCAAGCCCAGCCUUCUUUGGCCUCUCCUCUAUGGACCACCUUGCCAGCCUGUGCCCUCAGAACCUCCGAGCUGCAGCCUGGGCCCGGCCUCAGGAGGGUGACUCCCCACUCUGGUGAAGCAAUUAAGGACAUUUUCAAGUGCUGAGUGGCUGCCGGGAGGCAGCUUUGACCAGGCCCCGACAGAGGAGAUGUUUCUGGGAUGGAUGUGUCAAGGAAAAAAAAAGGCUGAAGUUGAAAAAUCCCAACUCAGCACAUGUCCUCCAGCCCCUGGAGACGUGACAAGGGAUUAAAACGCCUUUCUCCUCAUUUGCCCAACAUCUCAGGAGAAAGCUAAAUUGCAUGCCCGUCAGGGCUGUUCUGGGCACCUGCUGGCUACGAGGACGACCUCCUCAUUAGUGCAGCUUCCCUCUGCAAGCAAGUGCACA